GUCCAAGUUCCAGUCAUUCAUAUCAUAGUCAAAUCAUUUCACACACUUUUGCCAUCAAGUAAUACAAAGUGAUAUAAUAAAUGUUUAAAAUUUCCAGUUAGAGGUAGCACUGAUUUGAAACCCGACGAUUGGUAGAUUUACUACCAUACUAGGUAAGAGAAAAGACGAGAGAAAAUUAAACGAUCCACAAUUUCAUUGUGAUCAUUACUUCAUAUACAACUUAGAUAAGAUCCAUUGAUAUCCAUAUCCCUCUGUGCUAAAUUUAAUUUACAAGAAAAUUUAUCCAGUUUAAUUCUCCAUGCUAGCGCCUGAGUCUUCAAUGAGGCCACAUAUUUCCAAACUAAAUAAAGUAGCUUUCUAUCAUGUGUUCCAGUAUCACCGUGUUAUAAAAUGAUGUUAUAAGUUGAUUUGGUUGUAUAUAUGUUUGACACAUCAUAAGUCCAACUCCAUUGAUCUUUAGUCUCCUCCUUCAUAGUUGUAUGACUAAUUAGCUUCACCAACACCUCAAUUUUAGGCUUCUCCUAGUCGGAAGGUUCUCUCAUCCACGUGAAGUUCCAUUUCCAUUUGCCCUCUAUCAAUCACCCAGUUGACUAGCCAUAGCCUGUUUAUCCGCAAUCAAAUUGAAAAGCCGCUCAAAAGAAUACUUCAGGGGUCCUUCGUCUGUUGGAAAGUAAGUCCCACAUCGCCUACCUCAUUGUCUCAGUAAUGAUUUAAAUACCUCUUUGGUUACUUCUCUCAUUGCCAAUUGGUUUCGAGAUGGAACUUUAACAUGGUAUCAGAGCCAGGGCCCAACUUCUCUCCGGGUGUCAUGGGCCAAAAGUUGCCCUUUAGUUAUGGGUCAAAGGUAACUCUUCGCCUGAUCCGGCAGACUCAUGUGAAGAGGGAGGACAUGUUGAAAGUAAGUCUCACAUUGCCUAUUUGUUUUGAGAUGGAACCUUAACAUCGCCCACCAAAAAAUUAGACCAUAACCUUAUUUUCUUCCAUUCCCAAUACUUUUUCAAAACCACCCGCUAACUGCCCUUGCCUAAGGGCUGUCCCAAACGCCUCCUUCUUCAAAUCCCUUCACCAAAGAGAUUCCUUAGACCCUUCUAGGUUUCUAUCCAUAAACUCGAGGCUACCUUGAAGUCCAUAUUUAGAGUUUAAAACCUUAACCCUAAAGGACUCUCUCAUUUAAGCAGCGCUAUCUCCAUUUACCAAGAAGAACAACACUAAAAAAAGUUUCUAUAGAUUCGUAAGUUCCUUG
rnacentral:lncRNA from 1 species